UUAAGUGGUAGAAAUGGGAGUUCCCUUUCUUUCACCCCUGUUUCAAUCUGACUUCAGGCAAAGUAAACAAAUCCUGCCCAGCAAGUUCAAUGGAGCAAAUUUAGCAUGGUGAACAGGCCAUAAACUUAGGAAGAUCUGUGAGGGCAAAGGAUACAACCGUGAGGUAGUUUAGAGACUAGGGACUGAGGGAGAGCUUCAGCCAGCCACAGGGUUGUGGGGAGCAAGAAAGAUGAGUUUCUCACAAGAAGACUGGGGAGAACAGCAUAAUGAGGAUGCAGAAGAAGGAGCUGGCUCCAGGGCUCAGGGACAGUAGAGAAUAGAUGGUGACAGCCACAGACACCUUCCAGAACAGUGGGAGGUAUAAAAGGACCCCAGCAUCUUCCCCUCCCAUCCAACCUCUCCACCAGGAUCUUUGAUUGCCAAGCUGACCACGAUGCCACUUGGCACGGGAGUCUGCUAACAAGAACUUACAGGUGUUUUGUUUGGCUACUAUAUCUGAGUGAGCAUCUAUUUACACAAGAAGACAGAGCAGAGAGACUGGAGAAAUAAAACUUGAGUCUUGGAUGCUUUCAAAUAGGUUCUAUCUAUUAAACCAGAGGACCAGAAGCCCAGACCAGAACUGUAGACAAAACUGGGAAUUAGAAGACAGCACAUCCCCAGUGGAAUCACAGCAAGGGAGCUGAACACUCUUGGAACGAAUAAGCGACACUUCGUAUUCAAUCGGAGACAGUCACAUGGGCUGCGUCAUAGACCACUGGCUCCUGCUUCUGAAUAGUGCCUUCUCCAGUCCUUCCAGCCACUGGGCUCUGUGGUGCUGCUCUCCAUGAAUCGCCUAUAUUCUUAACAUCUUCAGACACAGCAGAAGUCUCCUUGAUCUUGUUCUCCUGUCCUUCCAAGGGCUGUGCAGGAUUCUGCAUCCCUGGAAAACCAUCCAUUUCCCUGUGCAAUGCCCAGAGUGUGUUCCCUCUAAAUCAGUCUUCACGUUAGUUUCCACCCUGACAAGUCAAGAAAGUUGCAUAUGGCAAGAUGUCCCUGUGUUUCUAAGUUCCUUUCUAAGGUUCGGAAACUGAGAAAACUUAUAAAGAAAAUGUUUAGUUCCAAGGCAUUAGAACCCAUGACCAUCAUAACAGGCAGCAUGGCAGCAGGCAGGCAAGCAGGCAGACAUGGUGCUGAGAAGUAGCCAAGAUCUCACAUCUUGAUCCACAAGCAGAAGGCAGAGAGAGAUAACUAAGAAUAGUAUGGACUUUUGAAAUCUCAAAUCCCAUUCAUAGUGAGGCACCUCUUCCAAAAAGGUCAUACCCCUAAUCCUUACCAAACAGUUCCACCAACUGGGGACCAAACAUUCAAAUAUAUGAGCCAUUGAGGGACCAUUCUUAUUUAAACCACGACUGUGGAAUCCAUUUUUUUCUAUUGUGCUAAUAUCCUUAGCCAUGGUGGAUAAGCUUGGCCUGGUGCUAGUGUGGGAAUAUUUUUUCUUCCUUUUAAAACACUCAAUUAUGUUUUAACUUACACAAAGUAAUGUAUUUCAUUAUGAUGUUUUCAUACAUAAGAAUUAUUAUACUUUAUUUCAAUUCAUCCUUUCCCCCACUGCCCCCAUAUUUUCUUUCUUUCUCUUCUUGCUUGCUCCCCCACCUACCCCAAAUAGCCCCCCUUCUGUUUU